GACGAACGCUGGCGGCGUGCUUAACACAUGCAAGUCGAACGAAGUGGCGAACGGGUGAGUAAUACGUGGGUAACCUGCCCUCCUUUUUGGGAUAAGCCUUGGAAACGGGGUCUAAUACCGACUAUAGGGGGAUGGGCUCGCGGCCUAUCAGCUUGUUGGUGGGGGGCUGGCCUACCAAGGCGGUGCCGGGUAGACGGCCGUAGAGGGUGACCGGCAAUAUUGGGACGGAGAUACGGCCCAGACACCUACGGGAGGCAGAAUGGGGGGAAAGUGCACAAGGGUCGUGAGCCUGAUGCAGCGACGCCGCGUGGGGGAUGAAGGCUUUCGGGUUUUAAACCUCUUUCGCUAGCGAACGGGUAGGUGGAGAAGAAGCGCCGGCUAACUACGUGCCAGCAGCCGCGGUAAUAC
rnacentral:rRNA from 1 species